AAGGAUCUCAUCUGGAGAUCCCUCCUUCUGAUGUUUUGUAAGUGAGCCCAGCAUAAGGAUCUUCUUGGAGGCUGGUGAAUGUGAACUCUUCUCUCUUCAGGGAUGCUCAUUUAUUCUGGAUCAGAACCAGAAACCAGAAAGUGUAUUUUUCUAAGUGACGAAGAGGAUGCACUUAUUUCAUUGAAGACAUCACUUGUCCUAAAAACACAGAAAUAAGAAUCUUGAAAGGACUGCAGGAAGCUACCCUGCCAUGGCCCUGCACUGUCCUUAACAGCCUAAAGGAACAGAAAUACCUUCCUUUAUGGAUUGCAUUUUCUAAACCCAUUAGCAUUCUUUUUACCCUCCUCUGGAUCUUCACCAAGUUAUCUUUUUUAAAAUUCAGUGGACGCACCGGUCUGAGAUCCAUUUGGCUUCCAAGUAGAGCAGAAUAAUUACUUUUCAAGGCUUGCAUACAGUAUUCCUAUAAAAAUGUCUUAGACUAA